CGGGUUGUGAGAGCAAGAGCCCGGAGAUGGAUUCUGAGACACGAAUCCAGGCCCUACGGGGUGCAGCAGGCGCGAAAACUUUACAAUGCUGGCAACAGCGAUAAGGGAACCUCGAGUGCCAGGUUACAAAUCUGGCUGUCGAGAUGCCUAAAAAGCAUUUCAUAGCAAGGGCCGGGCAAGACCGGUGCCAGCCGCCGCGGUAACACCGGCGGCUCGAGUGGUAACCGUUAUUAUUGGGUCUAAAGGGUCUGUAGCCGGCCGGAUAAGUCUCUUGAGAAAUCUGGCAGCUUAACUGUCAGGCUUUCAGGAGAUACUGUCUGGCUCGAGGCCGGGAGAGGUGAGAGGUACUUCAGGGGUAGGGGUGAAAUCUUGUAAUCCUUGAAGGACCACCAGUGGCGAAGGCGUCUCACCAGAACGGACCUGACGGCAAGGGACGAAAGCUAGGGGCACGAACCGGAUUAGAUACCCGGGUAGUCCUAGCCGUAAACGAUACUCGCUAGGUGUCGGCCACGGUGCGACCGUUGUCGGUGCCGUAGGGAAGCCGUGAAGCGAGCCACCUGGGAAGUACGGCCGCAAGGCUGAAACUUAAAGGAAUUGGCGGGGGAGCACCACAACGGGUGGAGCUUGCGGUUUAAUUGGAUUCAACGCCGGAAAUCUUACCGGGACCGACAGCAAUAUGAAGGCCAGGCUGAAGACUUUGCCGGAUUAGCUGAGAGGUGGUGCAUGGCCGUCGUCAGUUCGUACUGUGAAGCAUCCUGUUAAGUCAGGUAACGAGCGAGACCCA
rnacentral:rRNA from 1 species